rnacentral:misc_RNA from 1 species
AACGCACGAGACCUGCGGACCUGCGGAGGGAUCAUUAACGAGUUAGGGUCCCUCGAGGGCCCGACCUCCCAACCCCAUGUUUAUUACACCUUGUGUUGCUUCGGCGGGCCCGUCUCAGGACCGCCGGGGGGCCGUCAAACGUCCCCUGGCCAGCUUGCCCGCCGGUGGCCCUCACCUCCAAACUCUGAACCAAGCGUGUCUUUGUCUGAGUAAUGAUACCUAAAUCAAAAAACAAAAACU